CAUAUUGUUCUGUCAACAUAAGCAUACUGGUAUAUGCAAAGAAGUAAUUUGAUAAAGCUAUCAGGACAAUACAUUCAGUGG
rfam:Orientia tsutsugamushi str. Gilliam got.contig.8_1, whole genome shotgun sequence.